GAUGAAGAACGUAGCGAAAUGCGAUACUUGGUGUGAAUUGCAGAAUCCCGUGAACCAUCGAGUCUUUGAACGCAAGUUGCGCCCGAAGCCAUCAGGUUGAGGGCACGUCUGCCUGGGCGUCACAUAUCGUUGCCCAAAGCCUAUUGCAGUGCAAUAGGAAUUUCUAGGGCGAAUGAUGGCUUCCCGUGAGCGUUGUUGCCUCGCGGUUGGUUGAAAAUCGAGGCCUUGGUAGGGUGUGCCAUGGUAGAUGGUGGUCGAGUUAGAACGAUACCGAUCAUGUGCAUGCUCCCCAAAAUAUGGCCUCUAUGACCCACACGCGUCUUUUGACGCUCAUGACGAGACCUCAGGUCAGGCGGGGCUACCCGCUGAAUUUAAGCAUAUCAAUAAGCGGAGGA
rnacentral:misc_RNA from 1 species